rnacentral:rRNA from 1 species
AUUGAACGCUGGCGGCAGGCCUAACACAUGCAAGUCGAACGAGUGGCGCACGGGUGAGAAAUGUCUGGGAAACUGCUCGAUGGCGGGGGAUAACUACUGGAAACGGUAGCUAAUACCGCAUACCAUCGGAUGUGCCCAGAUGGGAUUAGCUAGUAGGUGGGGUAACGGCUCACCAAGUCGACGAUCCCUAGCUGGUCUGAGAGGAUGACCAGCCACACUGGAACUGAGACACGGUCCAGACUCCUACGGGAGGCAGCAGUGGGGAAUAUUGCACAAUGGGCGCAAGCCUGAUGCAGCAAUGCCGCGUGUAUGAAGAAGGCCUUCGGGUUGUAAAGUACUUUCAGCGAGGAGGCGGUACUCGCAGAAGAAGCACCGGCUAACUACGUGCCAGCAGCCGCGGUAAUUC